AAAGCAGGUCGGCUUAUCGCUACGAUGAUGCAAGGGCGGCACAGUUCUUGCACAGGUAGAGGAAAGUCGGGGCAGCACAGAGCACCGCAGCGGUUAACGGCCGUCAGGGAGAAAUCUUUGGUCACUGCUACAGAGACGAGACCUCGCCUUCGGCAAAUGGCGCUAACAGAUGUCGCCUUGCGACAUAAAGCGCGCCAUUGCCUCGGCUCUCCCCACCACAAACACUUCGUUGGUUUGUGUCGGGGAUCCCAAAAGGGAAAAUCAGCCGACGCGAGGAGGUGAAACGAGCACACUGCGGGCUGCAAGCUCAAGUAAACCGGCGCACGAGGGCUGCUCGCCCGAGCCGGAGGGUAGAGUGCGAGAGACGUGUGUGGUAACAUACACGCAAGAUUAAUGAUAAGCGCGCGCAGGUACACCUGCGCGUACAGAACCCCGCUUACAGGCCUGCUGUCGCU
rnacentral:RNase_P_RNA from 1 species